GAAACAACCUUUACGACAGCAGGUGUGGGAAAAACACUGAAUCAACACACACUGGAAAAUCAACAAACUGAAACAACA